GAUGAACGCUGGCGGCGUGCCUAAUACAUGCAAGUCGAGCGAACAGACGAGGAGCUUGCUCCUCUGGCGUUAGCGGCGGACGGGUGAGUAACACGUGGAUAACCUACCUAUAAGACUGGGAUAACUUCGUGAAACCGGAGCUAAUACCGGAUAAUAUAUUGAACCGCAUGGUUCAAUAGUGAAAGACGGUUUUGCUGUCACUUAUAGAUGGAUCCGCGCCGCAUUAGCUAGUUGGUAAGGUAACGGCUUACCAAGGCAACGAUGCGUAGCCGACCUGAGAGGGUGAUCGGCCACACUGGAACUGAGACACGGUCCAGACUCCUACGGGAGGCAGCAGUAGGGAAUCUUCCGCAAUGGGCGAAAGCCUGACGGAGCAACGCCGCGUGAGUGAUGAAGGUCUUCGGAUCGUAAAACUCUGUUAUUAGGGAAGAACAAAUGUGUAAGUAACUAUGCACGUCUUGACGGUACCUAAUCAGAAAGCCACGGCUAACUACGUG
rnacentral:rRNA from 1 species